CAGCAGCCUCUCCUCUCAUCCUUCCUUCCUUCCCUCCCUGUUGUUCCUUUCGUUAAUCUCGCCUCCAUUAUAUUCUGCUGCUGUAUCGAGUUCUAACCCGGCUCUCAGUGAACCAUAACAUGGAUUUAUCAGCGCCUUCUGCUCGCUUAUGUAAGUCUCAUUCAGUGAAUCAGGUCCAUUGGUCAUGUUAUUAAGCCACCCAGCCGUGACACCUCCUGCCUGCUCCCCUCUACCAGUCAGUCCAGGUCAGUGGGACACCUCCUCAUCAUAACAAGAACGGUCGGGUUCUUCUUCGUGCUCUCUUCUACUCUAUUCUGUUUCUAGGUCACUCGUAACAGUAAAUGUAGGUUUUCCACUGGUUCAGUUCGAGGAGUCUUACCACUCUUAUCACAGUCACGAGUCACUCAACAUGCUAAUAAAGAGCUUCAUGGAAAGAACACAUUCAGUUUUAUAUUUAUAACAGUAGAGGAGGAGCAGCGGAUUUAACUGGAGGUAACUAGUUCAGCAGCUGUGAGGAGACGUUCGCAGACACAAAUAAUAAAAUAUAAAAUCUUUGGAACGAUCCGAGUGUUUCCUGAAGAGCAACCAUGGCGAUGUGGUCACUUCAGCAGCUUUAGAAGGUGUUUUAGCUCAAUCAGUGAACAGCUGGAGGUGUGAGUUUAACUAUCAGGAUGUAACAAACCGACGUCAUCGAGCAGCGUCUCAUUUAAAGCUCCAAACCUCUAAAGCGACCCAAGAGGCUCUAAUGAACGGCAGCUACCGGCUCCUCAAAGCCCUCAGCGUCUGUGUUCGUACAUCAAAACUAGUUUGGACGCGAAGACAUCAAUCAGCCAAUCACGAGGUUAAUGAAGGCAGUGGAAGGCCUUUAUUGUGAAACUACAUUCUGCAAUGCUAGUGAGGAGAGCUAAUGAACGCUUUAUAGAUUUAUACAUUCUCCAGCAGAGGAGAGACAGUUUGGUACCCGUAGAAAAUGAAUGAAUGUGAAGGCCUCGAGGCCACAUCCCUGAACAUGGUCCUCAUGGAGGUCCAUGAACUCUCCCUUGGACCUCCAUGACGAAUUGUUCUAUAGCUGUUUGCGGUCAUGGUGGUCCGUCACUGUUGACUCAUCCUUCCCUUUGUUUUGCAGCUCCGGAGACGUUAAAGUCGGAUCGUCGUCACAAGGCCUCGCUCACCGCUACAAGAAGAGUCCCUGGACGGGGUCCACGCUCGCCCAGGAGGCCAAGGAACUCACAAGGACUGUCAGAGCCAUCCUGGAGGUGGACUUUCUGACCUUCUAGAGGAUCCGACCCUGAGACGUCUGCAGGACCUCAGCAGCCAACCGUCAACCCAAACUCUCUCCUCCCUGACAGCUCCUCGUCUCCUCACUACCUGCUAGCAAUGGACUCUUGUCUUAAUGAAGCACAGUUAUCACUGCACAUUUUCUCAACAGUCACAACCCACUGAACACAGGUUCUAUUCCAGUGUUUUAACCUGAAUGAUAUGCAAAAGAAAUUUGGUGCAAUCAUUGUUCAAGUUCAAAUUCAUAAUUAGCUUUUUAGCAUUAAGAUGUUUUAAUAGACGCUGGUUUUCUCUGUAAACAAUGCUCGAAGUGAUCGGUUCAUCUUUGGACGUCGACAGGUGACCACACUGGAAGGAGACCGUUGUUAAGUUGACGGACUACAUGAAUGUUUUGAACGUUGGUCACUUUAUUUAUUAUGUGAGAGAAUCAGCAUCAAACACCGUCUCCAGAGAGUCCUCAAUAGAGGACGCUAUCGUGGGCUGUUGUGGUUCGAGGACAGUCUUGAGACAGAAGUCGAUGUUCUGAAUCCAUCUUUUAAAUAAACUGUAUGAGCUUAUUGGCCCACAUGCAUCAGAGCUAACGAGCUAACCGAACCAGACGUGUAGAUUAAAUCUUCUGUCCGUCAGCAUUAAAUGUCACGUCUCAGCCUGUCGGGUAAGAUGAUCAUCAGAGAUGCACCGGUUGCAAUUUUUCUUGGCCGUUUUCAGAUUUUCUUAAAAGUUUGAUCUGCCGAUUCGGAUUUUCUCUCCAAGAACUAAAAUUGACAGCGAGGCUCCAGAUGAACUCUUUUCUCCACCGUCAAGAAAAAAACGAUUUUCAAGCAACUUUAUUUAUUGAAGCUUCUCUUCAAAAACUACAUGUAACAAGAUCAAAUUCACAUCACGAUAAAGUUAUAAUUUAUCAAGUCAAUGCAACAUCCGCUAGCGUUAGCUGUUAGCCGUUUGGAACCGUUGCUCCAGUUCUUUUUUAAGAAAGUUCCUUCCAGUUUUCUGGACUUGCAGUUGUGACAAAUUGUGAGCUUUAUGUCUUCUUCACACCGCCGACGUGUUGUGAUUGUUUGUGACGUUGCUGUGCCAACAUACUGUAUAACCAUAAUGCGGUACAUGUGUUUCAAUUUUAACGGCAAAAAAUAUGAAAAAGGUCACGAACUAUCAGCUGAAAAUGGUUUUGAUUGGCGGCCGAUCAAUCGGUGCAUCUCUAAUUAUCGGAUCAGCUACUUAAGGCUAAAAGUGUUAGCAUUCAUCAGAAACACAGACAUGGCGCCAUAACACCCGUCAGAUGUGUGGGUAAAGUGAGCGAUAGAUGAAACUCUCCAACGUUGAUGUAGUUCUUUAGAUUUACCCGACCUCUGUCGAGCUUCAACAGAUACCUUCAUUCAGCAAUGUAACGCAUCACAACAUCAUCUGGUUGCUAUUUACUGUAGCUAAAACCUGUCUCACUACUCUCUAAUGUUUAUCUAUUGGCUUUGUGUUUGAGUGGCUGAAUGCUCGUGUUUGUGCGUUAGAUUAGCCAACAGAACAAAGACUGGUAGCAUCAUCAAGCAGUAAGAGAAGAGAAAUCCUAAAAACCUCACGGGAACACCAAAAAACACGAGGUCAGCAAGGAUGAAGGCAGACAAUAAAGGAACCACGGCGUUCAUAUUGGAAUGCAGCCGUCGCGGUCUGACAGCUCAAGCCUGAUUGGACGCUUUAGACGCUUUCAUCGUGUUUGGAGUUAGUUGCUGUUUGUCCUUUAUUCUCUUUUCUGAGUAAAUAUUCUGAAACAAA